rnacentral:rRNA from 1 species
AUGCGCCCGGCCUCGAAGCACUGCUCGACGCACUCGCCUGGCGCUGCCCUCCCCGCCGGUCGCCGGUCGCCGUCAUUGCCGCCGGCCGCCGGUCACCGUGUCGCUACUGGUCCUCGUCACGGUGGAAGCAAAAAAUAUAGUUGGAUCCAACAAAAACAAAACAUGGUGAAAGCAAACAUUGGAGCGGCUCGCCGCGGGUCAGAGUGCCUAGCAACAAAAAUCGGAAGCAGCAAAAAUCUUCACCACGGAUCAAACUUCAGUGGUCAGUUGAAGCAAAAUAAAAAACGCUUCCAGCAAAAACAACAUGAGCAUUUGAGAGCUCUGCAAUCAUUGAAGCACAAAAUUAUCUCAGUUCCAGCAAAAGAAAUACAUCGUUCCUGCAAAAACAAAAAAUUGGUUCGGCAAAACGAAAACGCAUCCGCACAAAUGGCCACCCCUCUUGCAGCUCCCCCAGUAGUCGGUUGCAGCUCCGACGUGCACGGUUGCAGCUCCCGACAUCGAACGGCGUUGGAUGCAACACUCUUCACCGCUGGAUGCAGCUUCCUCUGGCGAGGCAUCGACCUUGUAGCACAUACACCAGUUGGUUGCACCAAAACGGGGCACCGGUUCCAGCAAACAACGAAGAUGUUCAUCAAAAUCGAAUGGGGAUGGUAG